rfam:Triticum aestivum genome assembly, contig: Triticum_aestivum_CS42_TGACv1_scaffold_194613_3AL
GUACUACUUCUCCGUCCGGAAAUACUUAUUAUUGAAAUGGAUGUAUCUAGAUGUAUUUUAGUUGUAGGUACAUCCAUUUCCAUCCAUUUUGAUGACAAGUAUUUUCGGACGGAGGGAGUACUAU